AUUGAACGCUGGCGGCAGGCCUAACACAUGCAAGUCGAACGGUAGCACAGAGAGCUUGCUCUCGGGUGACGAGUGGCGGACGGGUGAGUAAUGUCUGGGAAACUGCCCGAUGGAGGGGGAUAACUACUGGAAACGGUAGCUAAUACCGCAUAAUGUCGCAAGACCAAGAGGGGGACCUUCGGGCCUCUUGCCAUCGGAUGUGCCCAGAUGGGAUUAGCUUGUUGGUGAGGUAAUGGCUCACCAAGGCGACGAUCCCUAGCUGGUCUGAGAGGAUGACCAGCCACACUGGAACUGAGACACGGUCCAGACUCCUACGGGAGGCAGCAGUGGGGAAUAUUGCACAAUGGGCGCAAGCCUGAUGCAGCCAUGCCGCGUGUGUGAAGAAGGCCUUCGGGUUGUAAAGCACUUUCAGCGGGGAGGAAGGCAAUGCGGUUAAUAACCGUGUUGAUUGACGUUACCCGCAGAAGAAGCACCGGCUAACUCCGUG
rnacentral:rRNA from 1 species